AAACAGUACUAUAAUGACCACAGAUUACAGACUGACUGAACAGAAUGCAUUCCUACAUUUCUAAGUGAAUAAUACUGCUACAUCAAGAUGCAUUUAAGCCAUUUUAAAGCCAUGCCUAGUAAUCUGAUGCUGCUACCUGGUGUUAUGGACCAGACUGAACCCACUCAAAAUAUAUUCAGAAGAUAGUCUAGAGCUGAACAUUUCCUUGUUUUAAAAAGCUGAUCAAGACCCCGUAAGAGAAAAUAGGUCCAUGGAGCAAAGACCCAGGAUUUCCAUAUUUGUGGAUGCAGGACAAACAGAGAUGCACCAACAGCAUUUCAAAAUUAUUUUGAUGAUUUUUGUUUGGGGGUGACUAAGGUGGCAGGAAAGCAACAGAAAUGCUUUUUCAAAAAACAAGUGGCAAUUUAAGCUAUUGCUAAAAUCAGAGUUUCGAAGAAAAAUUUAAAUGAAGAAAAGCACCUUAAGUCUUUCAUAUUCCAAAAACGCAUCUAAACAAAAAUAUUGCUCAAAUAGCAGUACUUGAACAGUGCCAAGACAGUAGAUAUUUUCUGCAACAAAAACAGAAGUUGCUGCAAAAGCUCAGCAGGUCUGGAGUUCUGAGAAAGGGUCAACAGACCCCAAAUGUUGAAGGGUUUCUGUCCACAGAUGCUACCAGAUCUUUACACAACUUCUGUUUUUGUUGCUGAUUAACAGCAUCCAUAUUUCUAUUUUGAGGGUGUGGGAUGAAAAGGAGUGGAAAUAUGAAAAAAAAAGUAGACUUUGCUCAGGACCCUUUCUACGAGUAAAGGCAUUUCUUGGGUCGAGUGCGCUUUUCUCCCAUUUCUAAUAAGGUUAUGAUGAUAGGGCACAAGUCAGCUUGUUCUUUACUCAAAGUAGUAAUAGUUGCUUUCAGGUGAUCUAACUGUACUCGAGGCAAAUGUUCUGGGAGCAGAUGGUGUUAAAGUUGGA